UGUAACUAUAGUAGCAAUUGGAAAGGUGUGUUGAAAUAUGGCUGGAAUUGAGCCUUGUAGGCAUGGAUAUUUGUAAAAAAAUGCGACAUAAAGAGGGUUAAUUGGAUGAGCAGGUACAUAGCUUUGAGCUGUAAUAUCGCAAGUGGCCGCUGAAUGUCGCUGUUCCGCUGCACGGCGACUUGUAAAAAUGGGGAAUUUUCACUCGUGAGCGAGCAUUAGUCACAAAGUUAUGGUGACAGUGAACAUCAGAUUGGCCGUUUUUCUAAUUGAUAUACACACGGUCAAACUAUUAAUGUGUAACCUGUUAGACUUGACCCAGACACUUUAUCAACGCCGUCUCAACCGAGAAGAAAUGGAUGUUUACCAGGGGCGGUGUUUUUGGACCUCAGGAAAGCAUUUGAUACGGAAGCGGUGAUCCAAGAGUCUCUGGGAGGAAUAUGGCAGCCACGCCACUAAUGAUGGGAGCUCCUCCAUAUAUCAAACCAGGCAACCAAGGAGGAACAGGUCACUGAGCUGGGAGCGUGCGUCAAUAAAUUGGCGGCACGACAAGCAGCACGUACAGCGGCUGUCGAGGAGAGGCUUGCCACUUUCGUCUCCUCCCUUCAGAACAACUCAAGCCCAGAACGUUUUUCCAGAGACACAGGUGAUGUCUGUCCUUUCCUUAUUCAAUGCCAACUAAAUUUUUAACUGCAGCCAACUGCCUUUCUUACCGUGCCCAAGCGUGGCUUUUGCCAUAUCACACCUCUCUGGUAAAGUCGCUGAAUUGGCCACAGCAGAGUGGAGCCAACAAUCUUCUUUUUACAGUUCCUUCCUUUCCAAGGUCAAGGAGCACAUUUUUCAGUGGACUCCCCCGGGCCGUGAAGCAGCCCGGUCCUCAGUGUGUUGAAAGAUGCUAUAGACUUCCGUACUCUUGCCGUCAAGAGCGAUUGGAACCCUGCUGCUCUCUUGGAUGCUUUCUGCUUGGGCUUGGAUGACUGCAUUAAAGCAUCACAUUAUUGCUGUUGACCUACCUCUGGGCCUUGUUGACCUCCUCUCACUGGCGGUUUAAAUCGACAAGCGAAUCAGUGAGCAAGAGGAGGACCGAAACCUGCAGCACAUUCUGGUGGUGCUUGGCACAGAUAACCAGACUUGCACCAGCAAGACGAGUCUGUCUACCACUCACUUCUGGCCACUGUUGGACCUCCUUCCAUGCAACUUGGUGGCAACCUACUUCCGUCCACUGAGAGACAACGUUGUCAGCGUCUACACCUCUGCCUAUACUGUAGGUAUUCGGACCACUUGAUCUCCCGAUGCCCCAAUCGUCCAACCAACUGCCGAUCUCAAGCACGUUUCUCUUCUGGUGCGACGUCACCGACAGCGGGCCAACUUUCUCUGCCAUCAGCUCCGGCAUCUUCAAGACAGCGGCUACAACUUCCAGCUCUGCCUUCCUGAGGCUCUCAAGAUCCAUCCAGUGUUCCGAGCCCUCCUGAAGUUCCUCUUCCUAGGCUGAUCGACUUUUACGGUCAAGGCAAUCUUGGACAUCAGGCUAAGGGGCAGAGGUUUCCAGUACCUGGUAGACUGGGAGGGGUACUGUCCUGAAGAUCGUUCUUGGGUGUCUCGCUCAUCCUUGACCCAUCAAUGCUCGCAGAGUUCUACAGGCAUCUCCCGGAAAAGCCAGGUUCUGUAUGGCCUGGUCAUGCUUGUUGCUGAGGACCAGCCAUCUUGAAGAUUCAUGAAACCACCUGAAUGAACAUUUCGAAACUUACUGAGUGAGAAUGUGUUGAGCCCCAGGCCCGACAGCGCCAUCCCGCAACCAAAGCGGCACAGACAGAAGAUGGGGAAGGAUGUGGAGAAAGCGGCGCACGUCCCAGACACCGCCAUCAGCAGGACAGAUAAGAACGGCCAUAAAGCGUGGUGUGUAGAGUUUAAAAGCUGCUUUUUGCAUGCCCAUCAUCGAAUCUAAUGUAUGUGCGGGAGCCAAAGUACGGCCCCAGCCUCCCAGAGAGCCCAACCCAAAACAGCAGGUGCGGCGCCCAGGGAUCAAGGGACCACUGGCUCCACGCAACCAGGCCGGCCAGAGACAGGAACCUGGGCAGGGCCAGCAGCAGGCUAUAGACAGACGCGCCCGACAGAGGACAAGGCACGGGAGACGCAGGGGACAGCCAGCGUCAGCGAGAGACCACACCCCAUGCGGGCAAAAAAGCGGGACGCCCGGCCCCGAGGGGCCCAGAGACUCCCCGCAACUGGACGUGAAGACCGCCCCCGACCCACCAGCAACCGGCAUAAACCCGGAAAAAGUGAACCACUGUGAAUACUUUCCGGAUGUACCGUAUUUGUAGCGUGAGCGUCUAGGCGGAUGCCUAGAGGGCGCUCGCAUUCAAAGAUACUGUGUGCAUUAUAUCCCGCCCUCUUCUCGGUACAAUCAUGUAAGCUACGCCUUACUAACAACACCAGUUGCACUAGAAGGAUGACGUUCUAGUACAACUGCAGUGUUUGGAAAAGUGUACAGAAAUAUAAAAAACUGAGCAUCAGUUUUUAAAUUUAGUCUAUGUGCAUGUGCACGCAACAGCCAUGAUUGACAGCCUUUUUAUGAUAUAAAAUAUAGACAUUUAUUAGUUCAUCAUUUUAUCGGACCAGACAAAGAUCCAAAUCUUAGCCAGUGGUGUGGCUUUUUUCAUGGCAUUGUUUGUGACAUUGACCUGGUUCACAGUAAAGGCCAUUAGUCCCUGAUGUGUUGAAGGUCUUGUUGGAGUUCACCAUAGUCUCACCGGCUCUGUUGUUUGUUAAAUCGAUUCUGUUAAACCACUAUUGGUAACAUAUGCUCACUGUUGGUAAUGUUUGUAUAUUUUUUUGGUUUAAAAAAUGUUUUAUUUGUCAUAAGCUGGAUGCUGCACUGGUAACUAAGGCAGUAGAACACUGAAAGUGAAUCAUUCAUUGCAUAUAAUUUUUACAUAAUUAUUUUAAAUAUAUACAAUAAUACAGUAUACAACAAACACAUACAAUAAUGUAAAUACUAGAUAGAAAAAAUAUAGUUAUUUAAAUAACCCUGAAAAUCUCAUUUUACUAUUAAUUACAGUUCAAAACUUCCCAUUGGUUAUCUUGCUACAGUCCUGGAAGUACCAUCUCAUAAGAUAAAAGAAUGAACUAGUACAAAGAUAACCCUUCCCUUCCUUAAACUGAUCAAAUCAGCCUAAUGUAGGGCAUUUGCAAACAAUCACAUAUUUGCACAGUACUGUUCUUUCAUCAGCGUCAGGAAUAGAUUGUUUUCACAGAUUGUCACCUGAACACACAUUUCCUAAGAUAGCUGUUGUCUGCAAAUGUCAGUUACAUGUAAACUAAAGCAAAUAAACAUAUAGAUUAUACAAAAUGUUAUCCGCUGUAGAUAAAUGACAACAUGCAUUAAAAGGCUAUGUACUGUAUUUAUAAAAUGUUUGAAUGUUUAUAAAAACAUUUUACAGGCGAUUAUUCAGAGUUGAAUCCAGGUAAAUGUCCUCUGCUCUCCAUCUGAUAGUACGCAUCCCUUGAAAGCAUAGGUGGAUUAAUGACCGGGCCUACCG